UCAAAGCUGUAAUUAAUCCUCUGACUUGCAACUGUGGUGAAUGCUCGUCAGCUGUGUCUAGUGAUAAGGUGCUUCUGCACAGCCAAGGAAUAAGGUCAGUCCUGCUGGGAAGUGAGAUGUGUCCUGAUUGACUGUGGGUGCUUGCUGUAGAUGCUGAGAGGUGCAAAUGCAGUUUUCUGGGUUGAGCUUCAUAGAUCUCUACAAAAAAUUAUCGAGCAGCAAUUCCUGUUGGUGAAAACUGAACUUUGGACAAAAGCAGAGGGAAGGGCUUGUCCUGCCUCUGCAGCCAGGGAGAGACAUGCUGAGCUCUGGGCACAAAGCUGAGAAUGGGACCACAACAAAGGGCUCCUAGCAGGCUCCACAGCAACCUCCCAGUGAUGAUAGCACAUUGAUGUGCAGAACAGUGUCCCCCAUCCUGGAAAGGGAAAUCUCAUCUCUCUGGCACCCAGUACUGGAUGAGUUAAUUCCCAGCUGAAGUCUGUCUGCAGAGUAUGCUUGGGUGUUCCUCUGAGCUGGUGGCAAAGGAAACUGAACAGGAGGUGCUAACAAAGGAGGAAGGGCCUG
rnacentral:lncRNA from 1 species